rnacentral:rRNA from 1 species
ACUCGAACUUUCCGUAGGGGUGAACCUGCGGAGGGAUCAUUACCGAGUUUACAACUCCCAAACCCCUGUGAACAUACCUAUACGUUGCCUCGGCGGAUCAGCCCGCGCCCCGUAAAACGGGACGGCCCGCCCGAGGACCCUAAACUCUGUUUUUAGUGGAACUUCUGAGUAAAACAAACAAAUAAAUCAAAACUUUCAACAACGGAUCUCUUGGUUCUGGCAUCGAUGAAGAACGCAGCAAAAUGCGAUAAGUAAUGUGAAUUGCAGAAUUCAGUGAAUCAUCGAAUCUUUGAACGCACAUUGCGCCCGCCAGUAUUCUGGCGGGCAUGCCUGUUCGAGCGUCAUUUCAACCCUCAAGCUCAGCUUGGUGUUGGGACUCGCGGUAACCCGCGUUCCCCAAAUCGAUUGGCGGUCACGUCGAGCUUCCAUAGCGUAGUAAUCAUACACCUCGUUACUGGUAAUCGUCGCGGCCACGCCGUAAAACCCCAACUUCUGAAUGUGACCUCGGAUCAGGAGAUGAAUUCGGUCCCUUUAUUGGUUGUGC